GAGCCUUUGUUUUGUAUUUGAUUGGGGUCGCUUUUUACAGCGGUAUUUCAGAGCUCUGCAGUGAUCUACGCAGCUGAGGCACAGGUUGCCUUUCGCAGUGACACUGUUUUGACGGGUUACGUGUUUGAUGAAAUGGGCAAGACGUACAAGAGCAACAAAAUGUGCUGUGUGCCUCAGUGCACACACUGUGCAGUCAAAGGCUAGGUAAGCCUUCACUCGUUUCCUUGCGACGAACGAAUGAAAAAGGAGUGGACAGUGAAAUUGCGCAUUGGGAAGCCCAUCACGAAAACAAUGAAGGUGUGCAGCGCUCACUUUGUCCCCGCAGAUUUCUUCUCGGGUACAACUGGUAAGUGAAUAUUUUGUACUUGCAUUAUGUUGUGUCUCAACGAGGGGCGCACACCGUGAGCACUUAUGUGUUGAGCGGUAUUUUUGCUGGAGGACAUUUUCUUUCGUGGGGCACCUUGUGUCAUGUUCGAUAGCGAGCUGUGACGAACUGCCAGACCACCUCACAGUCGCUGUUAGUAUAUGCACGCAUUGAAAUUGCUAAUAAAACAUAAUGGCUCCAAACAUGCCUUGGUUGAUAAAUUUUGAUUACUUCAUUUUUUUAACACGCACUAAACAUUUAUGCUAGGCGCCAGUGUUUUCUGCCCUUCGGUUGUAUCGAAGUGCAGCAGCUGUGAGCUAACAUGUGCUUUGCGUUUGAACAUCUAAGCUAUGGAGCCGGGAGGAAAUGCUUUUAUUGCAGCACUUCCUUGCAGAGUUAAUGUAUCAAAUCAGAAUUUCUACAGGCCGCUACUCGAUGGUUGUGGAGGCGCUCGCGGAAUGAGCUGGUGCUUUCUAGCGAAAUGAAAAAAAAUAUAUAUAUUAAGGGGAGCAGUUGAAAUGCAUGUAGUGGUGUCCGGUAUUGGCCCAAAGGAAAAGAAAAAUAUUUAGUUCGGUUGAUGUGCUGGUAUUAACUACAUGCACAAGUGUGAGCACAUUUCCCUGUAUGAUUUAUUUUUCAUUUUUACAGUUCGUGCAGAAUUCAGAGUGUGAGUUAUUUUGUUAAUUAUUGUUAUAAUUAUUCACCUAUGGCGAACACAUCAAUCACUAUCUUGAAAACUAUUGAUGCGAAACUAAUCCAGUCUGCAAAACUUUCUUAUGUGCAAUGUUUCUUGAAUAUUUUUCAAUCAAUUCCCUGAUAUUUUGCCACUCUUUCUGCUGUGUUGUUCAGCAUGCACCAGAACUGGGUGCAUGUGAAUGUUUUGAGACCUAAACAGGUUCUGUAAGAUGGAUUAUUAUUCUCACAAACUGUUAUCGAAGUUAAAAAAAUAGAGGAUAAUAUACUUCAUAAAGGUUAAAAUCAUUGAAAAUAAUUAGGGAGGAUGAAAAUAAGCAGAUAGUUGUUAAGUAUUGGCUACCUAGUUGAAUAACCGUGACUGUUAUCCAGUCUUUGCUGAGCCCAAUAUGCACUUAGUGAUGGCAGGAUUCAUUUGGCCAUUGCGGCGAUUCUUGAAAUAGAGCUGUGAAAAUCUAGAAAGUGUCACUGUGUGUGCUUUCAUGGGAACUUUUUUUUCAGUAGAAGUCCUUAAAAGGUAUUAAAACUCUAUCCAUACACUCACUCGAACUGAGUACAGAUUUAUGGCACAUCUGAAGUUGAAAAAAUCUUUUUAUUCCUUUUCUUACUUUCUCUUUUAUAAGCUUUUACUAUUUUGUGCCCUUGAUUUCAGUAGUGGUUGUAUUUAUCUGCCCAUCUUGGUUGCAUACAGAAUGUGUGCCUCCAAAUAACACCGUGGGAAAUAUGUUACUAAGACCGUGAUCUCAUAUUUCAAAGCACCAGAAAUGUGGCGACCAGCCCGGCGACAACUGAAGAAAACGGCAGCACCAUCACGGUGCCUACCUGUGCGGAGCCUUGACAGCACAGAUCCAGCCACGAGCCAGGCAUCGGCUGAGAGAGCCUUCCGGACAUCAGCAAGAGCAGCAAGAAUCCCUACUCUCGACCCACAUAAUGUCCCACCAAGCAUUACUUGCUCAUCACCGCAGGAUAAUUCAGGAAGUGCAAGCCCAGCCUGUUCUUUGGCUAGCGGCUCCCUGCUGACUUGGGGCAGCCGCUCCUUGUGCUGCUGAUAUCAAGGCUGGUGCCGUAGACGUCGAAGCUGAUGUCAUAGAUGACGUCGAGGCUGGCGCUGGGGAUGACGUCGAGGCUGACGAGACCUGGGACGCUGACACCAAGCCUGACAGAUCAGAAAAAUCUGAUUGUUCGUCCAAGUCCUGGUCUUCAAACUGGGUAAUGCCCAUUAAAAUUUUUUCUGCACUACUGUGCUGCUGGUUCGCACCAAGUGGCUCACUUGUGUCCAGCUGCUGGCCACCUCUCUCGGGCUUGCAGGCACUACAUAAUUGCCUGAAGUGCUGCACAUAAGAAAAAGUGCAUGUUUUCUAUGUUGUGACGUUUUGUAACAUUGCAAUAAAACAAAGUGAAACCAUUUCAGUGUUUUUCUUGCUCUUCAUUAUUGUUAUAGCCUCACACACUGUAAAACUGUUAUGAACAAUACUAGCACUUUCAUAAUGUUGAAGUUGUCAUUCACUAAUGUGAUCCGUAUUACCAUGCAUUGUGCAAAAGAGAGAAAUGCAAAAGAAAAAUAUAAGUAAAGGUGCAUCAAAAUAUUUUCGUGCAUCUCAGUGUAUCUGUAAAAGAAAAUAUAUAUUCCUUGUAAAGUGUCUAAUCGCAGUAAAAAUGCCAUGCUAGAAGUAACUUAUAUAAGUCGGCAAUUUGGCAAGCAUACAUGAAACAUAGCCAUGCGCAUCAUAUUCAUGAUUUAAGGUAAUGACUACGAUCGAAGCGGCACCACAUGCUAUAACAUGAUGUGAAAACCCUUGCCAUUAGUUGUUCACAAGUGGAAUUGCACUGUGAUAACUCCGAAAACUAUAAUUCACAGCCUAGGCAUGUGGUA